rnacentral:rRNA from 1 species
AGCGAACGCUGGCGGCAGGCCUAACACAUGCAAGUCGAACGAAGCCUUCGGGCUUAGUGGCGGACGGGUGAGUAACACGUGGGAACGUACCUUUUGGUUCGGAAUAACGCAGAGAAAUUUGCGCUAAUACCGAAUGUGCCCUUAGGGGGAAAGAUUUAUCGCCAUUAGAGCGGCCCGCGUUGGAUUAGGUAGUUGGUGUGGUAAAGGCGCACCAAGCCUACGAUCCAUAGCUGGUCUGAGAGGAUGAUCAGCCACACUGGGACUGAGACACGGCCCAGACUCCUACGGGAGGCAGCAGUGGGGAAUCUUGCGCAAUGGGCGAAAGCCUGACGCAGCCAUGCCGCGUGAAUGAUGAAGGUCUUAGGAUUGUAAAAUUCUUUUACCAGGGACGAUAAUGAUGGUACCUGGAGAAAAAGCCCCGGCUAACUUCGUGCCAGCAGCCGCCGUAAAAC